GGAGAGAUGGCCGAGUGGACGAAGGCGCGCCCCUGCUAAGGGCGUAUAGGGUUUAUCCCCUAUCGAGGGUUCGAAUCCCUCUCUCUCCGCCA
rnacentral:tRNA from 2 species